GAUGAACGCUGGCGGCGUGCUUAACACAUGCAAGUCGAACGGAAAGGCUCCUGCUUCUCGGUGUACUCGAGUGGCGAACGGGGGAGUAACACGUGGGUGUUCUGCUCUGCUCUUCGGGAUAAGCCUGGGAAACUGAGUCUAAUACCGGAUAGGAUGCUGCUUUGGAUUGCAUUGUGGAGAGUUUUUCGGUUUUGGAUGGGCUCGCGGCCUAUCAGCUUGUUGGUGGGGUAAUGGCCUACCAACGCCUCGACCGAUAACCGGCCUGAGAGGUUGGACGGCGACAUUGGGACUGAGAUACGGCCCAGACGCCUACGGGAGGCAGCAGUGGGGAAUAUUGCACAAUGGGAGCAAGCCUGAUGCAGCGACGCCGCGUGGGUGAUGACGGCCUUCGGGUUGUAAACACCUUUCGCUAGGGACGAAGCGCAAGUGACGGUACCUGAAGAAGAAGCACCGGCUAACUACGUG
rnacentral:rRNA from 1 species